GUAUAGCUCAGUCGGUAAAGCAUGAGACUCAUAAUCUUAGAGUCCUGGGUUUGAGCUACAUGUUGCG